GAGGGUGUAGCUCAGCGGUAGAGUGCAGCGUUCAGCACGCCCAAGGUCCUGGGUUCAAUCCCCAGUGCCUCCA
rnacentral:tRNA from 1 species